rnacentral:rRNA from 1 species
UGGGGAAUCUUGGACAAUGGGGGAAACCCUGAUCCAGCCAUGCCGCGUGAGUGAUGAAGGCCUUCGGGUUGUAAAACUCUUUUACCAGGGAAGAUAAUGACUGUACCUGGAGAAUAAGCCCCGGCUAACUUCGUGCCAGCAGCCGCGGUAAUACGAAGGGGGCUAGCGUUGUUCGGAAUUACUGGGCGUAAAGCGCGCGCAGGCGGUUCUUCAAGUCAGGGGUGAAAGCCCAGAGCUCAACUCUGGAAUUGCCUUUGAAACUGUAGAACUUGAGUACGAGAGAGGUGAGUGGAAUUCCCAGUGUAGAGGUGAAAUUCGUAGAUAUUGGGAAGAACACCGGUGGCGAAGGCGGCUCACUGGCUCGUUACUGACGCUCAGGCGCGACAGCGUGGGGAUCAAACAGG